rnacentral:rRNA from 1 species
UACGUAGGGGGGCGAGCGUUGUCCGGAUUUAUUGGGCGUAAAGAGCUCGUAGGCGGUUUGGUAAGUUGGAUGUGAAAUCUCCAGGCUCAACUUGGAGGGGUCAUUCGAUACUGCCAUGACUAGAGUUCGGUAGGGGAGUGUUGGAAUUCCUGGUGGAGCGGUGAAAUGCGCAGAUAUCAGGAGGAACACCCGUAGCGAAGGCGGCUCUCUGGGACGGUACUGACGCUGAGACGCGAAAGCGUGGGGAGCGAACAGG